rnacentral:sRNA from 1 species
CAUCUCGCUUUCCUGGGCGCUGAUGAAAGUCAGCAUCGAACAUAACAAAAGUCUCCCAUUGUGGGGAGACUUUUUCAGCGGUU